UACGGAGGGUGCAAGCGUUAUCCGGAUUCACUGGGUUUAAAGGGUGCGUAGGCGGGCAGGUAAGUCAGUGGUGAAAUCUCCGAGCUUAACUCGGAAACUGCCAUGGAUACUAUUUGUCUUGAAUACUGUGGAGGUGAGCGGAAUAUGUCAUGUAGCGGUGAAAUGCUUAGAGAUGGCAUAGAACACCAAUUGCGAAGGCAGCUCACUGCGCAGUUAUUGACGCUGAGGCACGAAAGCGUGGGGAGCAAACAGG
rnacentral:rRNA from 1 species